GAGGAAUGAUGACAAGAAAAGGCCGAA
rnacentral:piRNA from 1 species